rnacentral:rRNA from 1 species
ACGUAGGGAGCGAGCGUUGUCCGGAAUUACUGGGUGUAAAGGGAGCGUAGGCGGGAUUGCAAGUUGAAUGUGAAAUCUAUGGGCUUAACCCAUAAACUGCGUUCAAAACUGCAGUUCUUGAGUGAAGUAGAGGCAGGCGGAAUUCCUAGUGUAGCGGUGAAAUGCGUAAAUAUUAGGAGGAACACCAGUGGCGAAGGCGGCCUGCUGGGCUUUAACUGACGCUGAGGCUCGAAAGCGUGGGUAGCAAACAG